UCCGGGUUGAUCCCGGCGGUCUCGCCAGACAACACAACUGGCGACGAGGGUUGCGCUCGUUGCGGGACUUAACCCAACACCUCACGGCACGAGCUGACGACAGCCAUGCAGCAUCUGUGCGCGCUCCCUUGCGGGUCGUCCCCGUUUCCGGGUCCUACCACGCGCAUGUCAAGCCUGGGUAAGGUUCUUCGCGUUGCAUCGAAUUAAGCCACAUACUCCACCGCUUGUGCAGGCCCCCGUCAAUUUCUUUGAGUUUUAAUCUUGCGACCGUACUUCCCAGGCGGCGUAUUUAUCGCGUUAGCUCCGCCACAAGAGGGGUCGAUUCCUCUUACAGCAAGCAAGCACCGUUUAGGGCUAGGACUAC
rnacentral:misc_RNA from 1 species